rnacentral:rRNA from 1 species
UAAAGUAUCUUUUAGCUUAACAAAUUUUUGAUAAAUUUUUUUUGAUGUAGUUAUACACAAAAUAAUACUAUGCAAUAAAAAAUGACAUGUAAACACUAAAAAUGAUCUAUAGGUGUGCCAGCUAUCGCGGUUAUACCCUAAUAUUACAUUUGAUUCUUGAUACUAUAUAAUAUGAAAUUUUAUUUUAUUAUAAAACAAAGAAGUGAAAUUAUAUUUUUACAUAUAAAAUAUUUUAUAUAGUCAAAUUUAGAUUAAAAACUAGGAUUAGAGACCCUAUUAUUCUAAAUUUUAGAAAUAAAGAAGUACAUUUAUAAAUAAACUUAAUUAAGAUGGCGGUAAAAUUUUCAUUAGAGGAGACUGUUCUGUAAUCGAUAACCCUCGUUUAGUCCUUUUUAUUUUAUUGUGUAUAUCGCCGUUGAAAUCUAAUUUUAGAUUAGAUUGUUUUAAUUAUGAUUUAUGUCAACAGGUCAAGAUACAAAUAAUAAAAAAGUAUGAAAUGGUCUACAAUUAAAUAUUAUUUUAUUAAAAUACAAUAUUAUUAACUUAUUUGUAUUUUAAAGGAUUUAUUAGUAAUUUUGGCUAAUUAUAUAACAAUAUGAUUAUUUAUAAUUUUAUGCACAUAUCGCCCGUCACCCUCGUGAGAGGUAAGUCGUAACAAAGUAGAUUUUUUGGAAAAAGAAUCUAGU